rnacentral:lncRNA from 1 species
GAGCCGGCGAGCUCCGGGGAGCCGCCACGCCGCACCCGGCCGGCCGCACCGGCCCUGGGCGCGUCCCCGUCCCGCGCGGGCCCCGCCGGAGCUCGGCUCUGCAGCGGGGACGCAGACGAUCGCGCGGUCCUCCUCCCGCGCGCACACGCGUGGCUCUGCGUCCCCCUUCACUAGUUCCCAGACACAGCCGCCGCCGCCCGGGUUAACUCACUUGUGCCCUUGCACAUGGAAAUCAAGUGAUCUGAGGCUUGGACUACACUGUCAACAAGUAAAAACUUGUCGUGUGGCCGGCCGGCCGUUGCUGCUAGGAAAGAAGCCAGUCGAUUUAAAGGAAAAGCAACGCAUCUUGGACCAGAUCCCAAGCAAAGUCCAGGGAGCACGUUCAGAAACCUUCAUCUGGAGUCUUGUCCCACCGGGGUGA